rnacentral:misc_RNA from 1 species
GAUGAAGAACGUAGCGAAAUGCGAUAGUAAUGUGAAUUGCAGAAUUCAGUGAAUCAUCGAAUCUUUGAACGCACCUUGCACCCUUUGGCAUUCUGAAGGGUAUGCUCGUUUGAGUGUCAUUGUACUCUCACACUCCCGAUCUUUGCAUUGGGAGCAGUGGACUUGGGUUUGCUGCUUCACCGUCGCUUACCUCAAAUAGGUUAGUGCAACUCUUGGUUGGACAUAGUACGGCGUGAUAAGUGUUCUUCGCCGGUGCCUCGCAAAGAGGGUGGCCGAUCGGGAUGUUGUGCUCCAAACCGUCUUCGGACAAUCUCUGACGACUUGACCUCAAAUCGAGUAAGACUACCCGCUGAACUUAAGCAUAUCAAUAAGCGGAGGA